rnacentral:rRNA from 1 species
CCUACGGGAGGCAGCAGUGGGGAAUUUUGGACAAUGGGGGCAACCCUGAUCCAGCAAUGCCGCGUGAGUGAAGAAGGCCUUCGGGUUGUAAAGCUCUUUUGUCAGGGAAGAAACAGCAGCUCUAACACAGUCUGCGAAUGACGGUACCUGAAGAAUAAGCACCGGCUAACUACGUGCCAGCAGCCGCGGUAAUACGUAGGGUGCGAGCGUUAAUCGGAAUUACUGGGCGUAAAGCGUGCGCAGGCGGUUAUACAAGACAGGCGUGAAAUCCCCGGGCUUAACCUGGGAAUGGCGUCUGUGACUGUAUAGCUAGAGUGUGUCAGAGGGGGGUGGAAUUCCACGUGUAGCAGUGAAAUGCGUAGAUAUGUGGAGGAACACCAAUGGCGAAGGCAGCCCCCUGGGAUAACACUGACGCUCAUGCACGAAAGCGUGGGGAGCAAACAGGAUUAGAUACCCUGGUAGUCCACGCCCUAACGAUGCUGACUAGUUGUUGGGAAUUUACAUUCUCAGUAACGUAGCUAACGCGUGAAGUCGGCCGCCUGGGGAGUACGGUCGCAAGAUUAAAACUCAAAGGAAUUGACGG